rnacentral:rRNA from 1 species
GACGAACGCUGGCGGCGUGCCUAAUACAUGCAAGUAGAACGCUGAAGGAGGAGCUUGCUUCUCUGGAUGAGUUGCGAACGGGUGAGUAACGCGUAGGUAACCUGCCUGGUAGCGGGGGAUAACUAUUGGAAACGAUAGCUAAUACCGCAUAAGAGUAGAUGUUGCAUUACAUUUGCUUAAAAGUUGCAAUUUCAUCACUACCAGAUGGACCUGCGUUGUAUUAGCUAGUUGGUGGGGUAACGGCUCACCAAGGCGACGAUACAUAGCCGACCUGAGAGGGUGAUCGGCCAAACUGGGACUGAGACACGGCCCAGAAUCCUAAGGGAGGCAGCAGUAGGGAAUCUUAGGCAAUUGACGGAAGUCUGAACGAGCAACGCCGCGUGAGUGAAGAAGGUUUUCGGAUCGUAAAGCUCUGUUGUAAGAGAAGAAAGAGUGUGAGGGUGGAAAGUUCACACUGUGACGGUAUCUUACCAGAAAGGGACGGCUAACUACGUG